GUCCCCGCACAAGCAGCGGAGCAUGUGGUUUAAUUCGAAGCAACGCGAAGAACCUUACCAGGGCUUGACAUCCUCAGAAUCCUUAGGAAACUAGGGAGUGCCCUUCGGGGAACUGAGAGACAGGUGGUGCAUGGUUGUCGUCAGCUCGUGUCGUGAGAUGUUGGGUUAAGUCCCGCAACGAGCGCAACCCUUAUGUUCAGUUACCAGCGGGUAAAGCCGGGGACUCUGGACAGACUGCCGGGGAUAACUCGGAGGAAGGUGGGGACGACGUCAAAUCAUCAUGCUCCUUACGUCCUGGGCUACACACGUGCUACAAUGGCCGCAACAAAGGGAUGCCACCUCGCAAGAGGGAGCGAAACCGAAAAAAGCGGUCUCAGUUCGGAUUGUGGGCUGCAACCCGCCCAUAUGAAGUUGGAGUUGCUAGUAAUCGCGAAUCAGCAUGUCGCGGUGAAUGCGUUCCCGGGGAUU
rnacentral:rRNA from 1 species